GACGAACGCUGGCGGCGUGCUUAAUACAUGCAAGUCGAACGGAAAGGCCCUGCUUUUGUGGGGUGCUCGAGUGGCGAACGGGUGAGUAACACGUGAGUAACCUGCCCUUGACUUUGGGAUAACUUCAGGAAACUGGGGCUAAUACCGGAUAGGAGCUCCUGCUGCAUGGUGGGGGUUGGAAAGUUUCGGCGGUUGGGGAUGGACUCGCGGCUUAUCAGCUUGUUGGUGGGGUAGUGGCUUACCAAGGCUUUGACGGGUAGCCGGCCUGAGAGGGUGACAGGGCACAUUGGGACUGAGAUACGGGCCAGACUGCUACGGGAGGCAGCAGUGGGGAAUAUUGCACAAUGGGCGGAAGCCUGAUGCAGCAACGCCGCGUGCGGGAUGACGGCCUUCGGGUUGUAAACCGCUUUCGCCUGUGACGAAGCGUGAGUGACGGUAAUGGGUAAAGAAGCACCGGCUAACUACGUG
rnacentral:rRNA from 1 species